rnacentral:tRNA from 1 species
GCGGAUAUAGCUCAAUGGGAGAGUCCCUGCCUUCCAAGCAGGGUGUCGCGGGUUCGACCCCCGCUAUCCGCU